rnacentral:rRNA from 1 species
UACAGAGGGUGCUAGCGUUGUUCGGAAUCAUUGGGCGUAAAGGGCGUGUAGGCGGUUUGUUAAGUCAUGUGUGAAAUCCCUCGGCUCAACCGGGGAACGACGCAUGAAACUGGCAAGCUAGAGUACCAAAGAGGGGGGUGGAAUUCCCGGUGUAGCGGUGGAAUGCGUAGAGAUCGGGAAGAACACCAAUGGCGAAGGCAGUCCGCUGGGCCGUUGCUGACGCUGAGGCGCGACAGCGUGGGGAGCAAACAGG